rnacentral:rRNA from 1 species
GACGAACGCUGGCGGCGUGCUUAACACAUGCAAGUCGAACGGUGAUCUCGCAGCUUGCUGCGGGUGAUCAGUGGCGAACGGGUGAGUAACACGUGAGUAACCUGCCCUUGACUCUGGGAUAACUCCGGGAAACCGGUGCUAAUACUGGAUAUGACCUCGGCCCGCAUGGGUUGUGGUGGAAAGUUUUUCGGUCAAGGAUGGACUCGCGGCCUAUCAGCUUGUUGGUGGGGUAAUGGCCUACCAAGGCGACGACGGGUAGCCGGCCUGAGAGGGUGACCGGCCACACUGGGACUGAGACACGGCCCAGACUCCUACGGGAGGCAG